UACGUAGGGUGCGAGCGUUGUCCGGAAUUACUGGGCGUAAAGAGCUCGUAGGUGGUUUGUCGCGUUGUCCGUGAAAACUCACAGCUUAACUGUGGGCGUGCGGGCGAUACGGGCAGACUGGAGUACUGCAGGGGAGACUGGAAUUCCUGGUGUAGCGGUGGAAUGCGCAGAUAUCAGGAAGAACACCGGUGGCGAAGGCGGCUCUCUGGGCCUUACCUGACGCUGAGGAGCGAAAGCGUGGGUAGCGAACAGG
rnacentral:rRNA from 1 species